GGGUUGUAAAGCACUUUCAGCGAGGAGGAAGUUGGUGAGUUUAUUACCNUCAUCAAUGGACGUUACUCGCAGAAGAAGCACCGGCUAACUCCGUGCCAGCAGCCGCGGUAAUACGGAGGGUGCAAGCGUUAAUCGGAAUUACUGGGCGUAAAGCGCACGCAGGCGGUUUGUUAAGUCAGAUGUGAAAUCCCCGGGCUCAACCUGGGAAUUGCAUUUGAAACUGGCAAGCUAGAGUAUGGGAGAGGGGGGUAGAAUUCCAGGUGUAGCGGUGAAAUGCGUAGAGAUCUGGAGGAAUACCGAUGGCGAAGGCGGCCCCCUGGCCGAAGACUGACGCUCAGGUGCGAAAGCAUGGGGAGCAAACAGGAUUAGAUACCCUGGUAGUCCACGCCGUAAACGAUGUCGAUUAGGAGGUGGGGUCCUUGAGGCGUGGCUUCNGGAGCUAACGCGUUAAAUCGACCGCCUGGGGAGUACGGCCGCAAGGACUAAAACUCAAAUGAAUUGACGGGGGCCCCGCACAAGCGGUGGAGCAUGUGGUUUAAUUCGAUGCAACGCGAAGAACCUUACC
rnacentral:rRNA from 1 species